AUGGCGUCGGCACUCCGCCUGCUGCCGUCGACGGCGACGCGCCUCCGCUUUCGUCCCCGCCUCCCUCUCUCCACCGCUGCGUCACUCUUCUCACCGCCCUCCAAGGCCGUCCUCUACGACCAACACGGCCCGCCUGACCAAGUCCUCAGGGUGGAGGAUGUGCCGCCGGUGGAGCUCGGGGAGCGCGGCGUCUGCGUGAAGAUGCUAGCCGCACCCAUCAACCCCUCCGACAUCAACCGCGUCCAGGGCGUCUACCCCGUCAGGCCUCCCCUCCCCGCCGCCGUCGCUGGGUACGAGGGCGUCGGCCAGGUCCACGCCGUUGGCCCCGCCGUCACCCGCCCCCUCUCCCCCGGCGACUGGGUCAUCCCGUCCCCGCCCUCCUUCGGAACAUGGCAGACCUACAUUGUGAAGCUGGAAGAUGUGUGGCACAAGGUUCGUGACGAUGUUCCGGUGGAAUACGCUGCCACUGUCACGGUGAACCCCUUGACAGCGCUCAGGAUGCUGCAGGACUUUGUGAAACUCAAACCUGGUGAUGCUAUUGUGCAGAACGGCUCGACCAGCAUCGUUGGUCAGUGUGUUAUUCAGCUCGCCAAAGUGCAGGGAAUUCGCACCAUCAACAUCAUAAGGGACAGACCUGGGUCAGAAGAAGCAAAAGAGAAACUUAAACAGCUUGGUGCAGAUGAGGUCUUCACCGAAAGUCAGCUAGAUGUAAAGAAUGUCAAGAGCUUGCUGGGCGCUUUACCAGAACCUGCAUUAGGAUUUAACUGCGUUGGAGGAAAUGCUGCAUCUUUGAUACUGAAGUUAUUAAGGCAAGGGGGCACCAUGGUGACAUAUGGCGGAAUGUCCAAGAAACCUGUGACUGUUUCUACUUCGUCUUUCAUAUUUAAGGAUCUUUCUCUCAGAGGGUUCUGGCUACAGAAGUGGAUGAAUUCGGACAAGUCAGAGGAAUGUAGAACAAUGAUAGACUACCUCUUGGGCCUUGUGCAUGAAGGCAAACUUAAAUAUGAGAUGGUGCUGACCCCCUUUAGCGAGUUCAACAUGGCUCUUGAUAAGGCCCUUGGAAAACACGGAAGCCAGCCAAAGCAGGUUCUUAGGUUCUGA
rnacentral:rRNA from 1 species